rnacentral:rRNA from 1 species
GCGAGUGAAGCGGGAAGAGCUCAACAUUGUAAUCUGGCUGCUUCGCAGUCCGAGUUGUAGUCUAUAGAAGCAUGAUCCGCGCCGGCCCUUGGGCAUGUCUGUUGGAACGCAGUGUCAAAGAGGGUGAAAAUCCCGUACAUACCAAGGACGACCGUGUGCAUUGUGGUCUGCUCUCUAAGAGUCGAGUUGUUUGGGAAUGCAGCUCUAAUUGGGUGGUAAAUUCCAUCUAAAGCUAAAUAUCGACGAGAGACCGAUAGCGAACAAGUACAGUAAUGGAAAGAUGAAAAGUAGCCUGCAGAGGCAAUGAAACAAUACGUGAAACCGUUUGUAGGGAAGCGAUGGAACCUUUUCACGCUGCGAGGGUUCAGCUUGGCUUCGGCUUAGUGUAUUCCCUCGUUUUGCGGACCAGCAUCAGUUUGCUUCGCAGUAUAAGGGUGAUUGGAACGUGGCUUCUCCGGAAGUGUUAUAGCCUUUCACUGGAUGCUGUGUCGCAGACUGAGGACUGCAGUGCGCCGUAAGGCAUGGCCUUCGGGCCACGAGCACUUAGGAUGCUGGGCGAAUGGGUUUCAACGACCCGUCUUGAA